GACGAACGCUGGCGGCGUGCUUAACACAUGCAAGUCGAACGGAAAGGCCCUGUUCUUUCUGGCGGCUCGAGUGGCGAACGGGUGAGUAAUAUGGGAGUAACCUCCCUAUGACUUGGUGACUACUCCAGGAAAUUGGGGCUAACACCUAAUCGCUGCUCCGGCAGCCAGGUGGGGGUUGGAACGUUUCGGCGGUUGGGGAUGGAUUCGCGGGUUAUCAGCUUGUUGGUUGGGUAGUGGCUUACCAAGGCUUCGACGGGUAGUCGGCCUGGGCGGGUGACCGGCCACAUUGGGACUAAGAUACGGCCCAGACUCCUACGGGAGGCAGCAGUGGGGAAUAUUGCACAAUGGGCGGAAGCCUGAUGCGGCGGCGCCGCGUGCGGAAUGACGGCCUUCGGGUUGUAAACCGCUUCCGCCUGUGACGAAGCGUGAGUGACGGUAAUGGGUGAAGAAGCACCGGCUAACUACGUG
rnacentral:rRNA from 1 species